rnacentral:rRNA from 1 species
GGGACAACAGUUGGAAACGACUGCUAAUACCGCAUAAGCCCACGGAUCCGCAUGGAUCUGCGGGAAAAGGAUUUAUUCGCUCUAGGAUGGACUCGCGUCCAAUUAGCUAGUUGGUGAGGUAACGGCCCACCAAGGCGACGAUUGGUAGCCGGACUGAGAGGUUGAACGGCCACAUUGGGACUGAGACACGGCCCAGACUCCUACGGGAGGCAGCAGUGGGGGAUAUUGCACAAUGGGGGAAACCCUGAUGCAGCGACGCCGCGUGGAGGAAGAAGGUUUUCGGAUUGUAAACUCCUGUCGUUAGGGACGAUAAUGACGGUACCUAACAAGAAAGCACCGGCUAACUACGUGCCAGCAGCCGCGGUAAAACGUAGGGUGCAAGCGUUGUCCGGAAUUACUGGGUGUAAAGGGAGCGCAGGCGGACCGGCAAGUUGGAAGUGAAAACUAUGGGCUCAACCCAUAAAUUGCUUUCAAAACUGCUGGCCUUGAGUAGUGCAGAGGUAGGUGGAAUUCCCGGUGUAGCGGUGGAAUGCGUAGAUAUCGGGAGGAACACCAGUGGCGAAGGCGACCUACUGGGCACCAACUGACGCUGAGGCUCGAAAGCAUGGGUAGCAAACAGGAUUAGAUACCCUGGUAGUCCAUGCCGUAAACGAUGAAUACGAGGUGUUGGAGGAUUGACCCCUUCAGUGCCGCAG